UCUUAAGCUUGGUGUAUUCACAUAAGCAAUGACUAAAAGUGAGGUGUCUAGCUUUAAAAAAAAGAAAACAGGUUGAAAGAAACAUUUCUUUCCCAAAUGAACAAGAAUUUAACUCCAAGAAUACCACUAAUUGUUAAAGGGUAAUGGAGCAGAGAAGUACAAAGGAACUGGAGACUAAAUACAACCUAAAGCCAUGUAGGAUGUAAGACAAGUGCAAAGUGAAAUUCAGAAAGAAAAUGAGAAAGAGGAAGUAAAGCUCAAUGGAGAGAACUGGGAGAAGAUCUCGGCAAGGAACUUCAGCCUAUUUGCUCUGUCCUUUACCACUGGUGUUCACACAAACCUGUGUGAUUAGGUCACAAGGUCAUUCAGUCUGGCUACUAUGCCAGCCACAGAGUGAGGCAAGAAUCCCUGAAUUGCACCUAGUCAUCUCUGAUUUUAGGCUUCGUCCACAAAAGGCAUUCCACAGAACAAAACCCAUCACUGCAAAUCCGAAUGUUUAUAAGAAACUGAAAAAGAAGCGAAUGGCUAGCUAUGAAUUUGAUGCACAGUCCCGUUUAAGGAAGAUGGUCAUCACUGAAAUAUCCCUGGCACCUCUGAGAAACAGACCUAUUCAUAAGUAUCUGUUAAUCACAGAGGAGAGCACGAAGUCCAGAUCAAGAUGACAAUGUCAGCGAAAAGAACUUGACUGCUUCUUUGCUACGGCCUUGCCUCCUGCAGGGCCACUAAUAGGGCUUGUAAAGAAAAGAAGGAAGAAAUAAAGUGUGCACUAGGAAAACCUCUAA